AUGAAGACCAUUCCAGCAUCAGACUAUCGACAUUCCAGAAAGUGUCGACAUCACUCUGGUGAUGCACAGUGACUGAAGGGCCCCAGAGGAACCCUCAGGAGGCGAUUUAAUCACAUCAAUGUAAGGCUGAGUCUCCUUGGAAAGAAAAAGAAGAGGCUCUGGAUUGACAAAUAUUGGGAUAACAGAAAAAAAACUGCUACUGUCCGAACUAUCUGCAGUCAUGUUGAGAACAUGAAUAAGGGUGUAACGCUGGGCUUCCAUUGCAAGAGGACUUCUGUGGACGCUCACUUCCCCACCGAUGCCCUUAAUCAGGAGAAUGGGUCUUUGGCUGAAACCUGAAAUUUCCUGGGUGAAAAAGUACAACUGCAGGGCCUGGAUGAAGGGUGCUGCUUGUUCUUUUUUUUAAACCCAGAAGGAUGAAUCAAUCCUUGAAGGAAAUGGUAUUGAACUUGUUUCAAAUUCAGCAGCUUUGAAUCAGCAAAUCAUAACAGUUAAAAAAAAGGGCAUCAGAAAGUGCUUGCAUAGCAUCUAUGUCUGAAGAGGGAACAGAACAGCAGGCUGACGAGUGA
rnacentral:lncRNA from 1 species